rnacentral:rRNA from 1 species
GAUGAACGCUGGCGGCGUGCCUAAUACAUGCAAGUCGAGCGAACAGACGAGGAGCUUGCUCCUUUGACGUUAGCGGCGGACGGGUGAGUAACACGUGGGUAACCUACCUAUAAGACUGGGAUAACUUCGGGAAACCGGAGCUAAUACCGGAUAAUAUUUCGAACCGCAUGGUUCGAUAGUGAAAGAUGGCUUUGCUAUCACUUAUAGAUGGACCUGCGCCGUAUUAGCUAGUUGGUAAGGUAACGGCUUACCAAGGCAACGAUACGUAGCCGACCUGAGAGGGUGAUCGGCCACACUGGAACUGAGACACGGUCCAGACUCCUACGGGAGGCAGCAGUAGGGAAUCUUCCGCAAUGGGCGAAAGCCUGACGGAGCAACGCCGCGUGAGUGAUGAAGGUCUUCUGAUCGUAAAACUCUGUUAUUAGGGAAGAACAAACGUGUAAGUAACUGUGCACGUCUUGACGGUACCUAAUCAGAAAGCCACGGCUAACUACGUG